UGCAGCACCAGUUCUCGUAUGAUCCCCGAAGUUAAGCAACAUUGAGCCUGGUCAGUACCUAGAUGGGUAACCACUUGGGAAUACCAACUGCUGUA